UACGUAGGGGGCUAGCGUUGUCCGGAAUCAUUGGGCGUAAAGAGCGUGUAGGCGGCCCGGUAAGUCCGCUGUGAAAGUCGGGGGCUCAACCCUCGGAUGCCGGUGGAUACUGUCGGGCUCGAGUACGGAAGAGGCGAGUGGAAUUCCUGGUGUAGUGGUGAAAUGCGUAGAGAUCCGGAGGAACACCAGUGGCGAAGGCGACACGCUGGGCCGUACCUGACACUGAUGCGCGACAGCAUGGGGAGCAAACAGG
rnacentral:rRNA from 1 species